GGACUACUAGGGUUUCUAAUCCUGUUUGCUCCCCACGCUUUCGUGCUUCAGUGUCAGUGAUAUCCCAGGGGGCUGCCUUCGCCAUCGGUAUUCCUCCACAUCUCUACGCAUUUCACUGCUACACGUGGAAUUCUACCCCCCUCUGACUCACUCUAGCCAUGCAGUCCCAAAUGCCAUUCCCAGGUUAAGCCCGGGGAUUUCACAUCUGGCUUACAUAACCACCUACGCACCCUUUACGCCCAGUAAUUCCGAUUAACGCUUGCACCCUACGUAUUACCGCGGCUGCUGGCAC
rnacentral:rRNA from 1 species